CGGACGGGUGAGUAACACGUGGGUAACCUACCUAUAAGACUGGGAUAACUUCGGGAAACCGGAGCUAAUACCGGAUAAUAUUUCGAACCGCAUGGUUCGAUAGUGAAAGGUGGUUUUGCUAUCACUUAUAGAUGGACCCGCGCCGUAUUAGCUAGUUGGUAAGGUAACGGCUUACCAAGGCGACGAUACGUAGCCGACCUGAGAGGGUGAUCGGCCACACUGGAACUGANACACGGUCCAGACUCCUACGGGAGGCAGCAGCG
rnacentral:rRNA from 1 species